CCAAAGGCUCUUUUCAGAGCCACUUCUGUUGUCACACAGAGUAGCU
rfam:Tupaia chinensis contig173170, whole genome shotgun sequence.